rnacentral:rRNA from 1 species
AUUGAACGCUGGCGGCAGGCUUAACACAUGCAAGUCGAGCGGGGAAGGGUAGCUUGCUACCUAACCUAGCGGCGGACGGGUGAGUAAUGCUUAGGAAUCUGCCUAUUAGUGGGGGACAACAUUCCGAAAGGAAUGCUAAUACCGCACACGCCCUACGGGGGAAAGCAGGGGAUCUUCGGACCUUGCGCUAAUAGAUGAGCCUAAGUCAGAUUAGCUAGUUGGUGGGGUAAAGGCCUACCAAGGCGACGAUCUGUAGCGGGUCUGAGAGGAUGAUCCGCCACACUGGGACUGAGACACGGCCCAGACUCCUACGGGAGGCAGCAGUGGGGAAUAUUGGACAAUGGGCGAAAGCCUGAUCCAGCCAUGCCGCGUGUGUGAAGAAGGCCUUUUGGUUGUAAAGCACUUUAAGCGAGGAGGAGGCUACUGGUAUUAAUACUACCGGAUAGUGGACGUUACUCGCAGAAUAAGCACCGGCUAACUCUGUGCCAGCCGCCGCGGUAA